rnacentral:rRNA from 1 species
UACGUAGGUGGCAAGCGUUGUCCGGAUUUACUGGGCGUAAAGAGCGCGCAGGCGGUCGUUCAAGUCGCGUGUGAAAGCCCCCGGCUCAACUGGGGAGGGUCACGCGAUACUGAUCGACUCGAAGGCAGGAGAGGGUAGUGGAAUUCCCGGUGUAGUGGUGAAAUGCGUAGAUAUCGGGAGGAACACCAAUGGCGAAGGCAGCUCGCUGGGACGUGACUGACGCUGAGGAGCGAAAGCUAGGGGAGCAAACGGG